GGAAGCUGACGUGUUAGGAUAACAUGUGACACGCUAGUGAAAAACUAAAGUGAAAGUAUUUUAGAAGAAGCUUAAUAUGGAGCACAGACAGAUACACGGGUGACUACCAACAGCAAGGACUGACACAGCCUUUCUUGUUUGUGUGCUUCUUUUUGUAGUUUUUCCAUAUUUGUUGGAAUUGGUCCAAAGGUGCUGAAAGGUUAAAGAGGAACAAUGGCCAAUAGACUACCUGCUUGUGUGUCUAUUCCAUUAAGCAAACUGUAUGAAGCUGCCAGGGCAUUUAUUGAAAACUGUAAUCAUUUUGAAAAAAGAGCACAAGCCAUUGGCCAUGAACUUCAAGAGCUAUCUGAUGAAUAUAAAAAGAUGGAAACUGAAACUACAUGUAAAAAUAGGACUGGGGACGCCCUUAAAGGAUUGGGAUAUGUAGCUGCUUUAGUUACAGCGUUUGGAGUAGGAUUUUCAGUUUCACGUGUAGGAGAUGAAAAAGCGCUCGCUGCAGGAGGUUUAGUCUUACUUUCAUUAUCUGCUGCUGCUGCUGCAGUCGAAACUGGAGACUCAACUGUUUUGAAUGCAAAUGUAAAGAAGGCACUCACACAGCAGGACAUGAUGAAAAGUUUGAAAGCUUUGGUUGAAGAAUUCAUGACCAUUAUUGGAGCACAGAGGACCAUCCUGGAUGAUAUCAUCACAUUCUCAGAUGAACUGAAUGAAAACUCCUCCAUUGUAAGCACAAAAGCUGGAGCACAAGCAAAAAAAACUCUUUCAGACAUUAAAAAGUUUCAGGGACUUCAAAACAAAAUGAACGAACUGACAGAGGAUGUAAAGGCCGCACAUCUUAUAGCUGAGUCAGCCCGGCAGUGUGAGAAAACUCUCACUAAGCUUUUAAAAAUGAGGAAUGAACUCAAAGAGUUUGAGCAAAAUUAGUAUGAAGUACUUUAAUAAUAAUAAUAAUGGAUUGGAUUUAUAUAGCGCUUUUCAAGGCACCCAAAGCGCUUUACAAUACCACUAUUCAAUACCACUAUACUUUGAUACCUUUUUUCACUGGGGAACUUUAAUGUGCAGUACAUGCAGUUGAUGAUGUGCAAGACUAAGACAAUAUGCAAACAUCAGUCUCAUGAUAUAACGGGUCAAUCUAUAAAGCAGCUGCUUAAAGUACAAGAACAGUUGCAACUUAAUUUCGUACCUAAAAUUAUUAUUAACUGUUAUUUUUAAACUGUUUGUUUCAAUUUUUGUUAAAAAUGCAAGGUUGUACUGUUAAUUUCAAUCAUCUGUACGACCAAAGAAAAACCUGAAAGAAAAAGAAAUAAUGAAGUAUGUAGGACAUAAACACCCAUAUUGUGCUGAUGACGCCAUCUUUUUAAUCUUAUGGUUUUCAAACUGCAGGUCUGAAGUCUAGUUCAUGAAAAGCUCUUUACUCUUUCCUAGUCUUUCCUAUCCCUCAAAGGAAAUCUAAAUUAGCACUGGAAAUUAACACUGGUCUGACAGCCUAUUGGCCUUUAAAUCACUUGCUGAAAGGCAGAACUUAUUAGCAUUGAGGCAAUCAGACGAAUGAGAUAUUUAGCAUUCUUAGCUGACUUCACCACCAGCUUACAUAUAUGCUCAAAAUGGUAAAUAAUGGUUCUUAGUGGUGUAGAUAGUGAUGCGUAUUUCUGCUCAGUCAAUAAUGCAUUCACUGACGUAUUAUGUUGUAUCAUGACGUAUCUUGCUGUAAUCAGUAGUUGCUUUUUUUGGUGUCUCUUUACUGCAAUAAAACUUGAAGCACAA
ensembl:lncRNA